rnacentral:rRNA from 1 species
AUACUUAGGGUGCAAGCGUUAAUCGGAAUCACUGGGCGUAAAGAGUACGUAGGCGGUUUGGUAAGUCAGGUGUGAAAUCCCGGAGCUCAACUCCGGAACUGCAUCCGAUACUGCCAGACUUGAGUAAUGGAGAGGCAGGUGGAAUUCUCGGUGUAGCAGUGAAAUGCGUGGAUAUCGAGAGGAAGACCAAUGGCGAAGGCAGCCUGCUGGACAUUUACUGACGCUGAGGUACGAAGGCUAGGGGAGCGAAAGGGAUUAGAAACCCUAGUAGUCC